UUAAAGUUCAAUAGGGAUCGAAACAAAGUGAUUUCUUGCUCACCGCCAGAAUACCUAUAAGCAGGAUUACCGCGGCUGCGAUCAUCAAAGCAAUAUGAAAGACAAUGAACCAUUUGCAUCAUCGACUAUAAUGCCAGCAUUAAUAAAUCCGAAAAACAAGGUGUAGAAUGAAAUUACAAUGCAUCCAGUCUUUAUUUGCAUACAAAAGCAACAUUUGCGUCUGAUCAGUUUCCUGAACAAUGAUGGCAUCAAAAAUAUAAACACUUUUCUGGAGAACCCUUUGGAAUUCAAGACUGGCCUUUAGGUCAGUAAAGUUCAUCUCUCUGCACAAAGACCUCAUCCCUCCCUCAGAAACUUUGGCCGUACAAAACAGCAGCCGUUUAUAAAAUAAAGCUACCAAUUGACUGGCAAAACAAAGAUUGGCUUUUAUGAAAUAAUCUCUGAAAUAUACCAAAUUAUAGAUUAAAUUAUGAA